rnacentral:lncRNA from 1 species
GCAGAUCUACGCCCACAUCCUCCCAUUCACAAACUACCGGUUACAAGCCCUUUGGGACAUAUCUCUUGUGCUCUGAACUUGGUUGUGCUUGUUUUGACAACCCUGAUUUAAUUUUGGAAUUGCUGAAAGUCAUAUCAUCAGAGGUUGCCGGAGGAUUGCAGGAUGUUGAUUAUGGGGAGAUUUUAAGAAACCUCAAGGAGAGGGCAAUCUGCAAGGGACUUCCGCAGGUGGGUGAAAGGUUUGCAAAUCCAUUUUCAGCUGGGAUCAUCAUGGAACUUGAGACAAUUGGAUUUAAUCAAACAAAGGUAAACAGCUUUCUCCCAUCUAAUGAUGUUAUGGAACAUGGUUUACACCUCAUUAAAUACUGCAACAACUGCCCUAUUUAGAUUUACCUUCUUGUUCUUUGGGAUUUUCCAUAACUAGACUCAUUUUUUAAUUUCAUGGCAGCUGCUGCAGCAUAACAUUGAUAUCGAGACUGUGAUAAGCGCAAUGGAAGCGGAAGCAAGAAACCUAACCCAGAAAAAUAAAGCUUCCGAUGCCAAGAAACUGAAUGAAAUAAAAAUAGACAUGACCCGGCUAGAAUUGUAUAAGAAGAAUUCGAACAUGGGUUACUACGAUUGCUUCAAAAACCAGGGGUCUAAAAGGGACAUCCACGUUGAACAGUUUAGGGUAAACCUCACAGGGUACUGGGAAGGCAUGGUUGCACAAAUACAGAGGAAGCCUCAUAAGGAAGGAGCAACAUUUCGAACCCGUUGGCUCUAUGCAGGGACGGUUUAUAGAAGAAUGGUUGAACCACUGGACAUUGCUGCCUUCUACAGAGAGGGUAGAAAAGACUACAUGAAUAAAAGAUCUGCACAUUACAAGCUGUUGCAGGAAUGGUAUGAGGAAGAUGUGAAACCCCCCUCUAGAGAUAAGCUUGAUUCCAAGAAGCAAAAGGUGUCCAGUAUCCUAACUGAGGAUUCUUGCUUUUGGGCACAUGUGGAGGAGGCUAUCUUGUCAUGCGAAUUGCUCAAGAGUGAAAACUGUAAUCUUGAGGAGGGAAAAUCAUCAUGGGAUAAUCUGGUUAAGUUCGAGGAGUAUGUAAUGGAACAGAUUGACAACUAUGCAGUGUCCCCUGAGAUUUUCUUGGAGAAAAGCAGCUUCAUGAAAUGGAGGGGACUGUAUGAGGGCUACAUAGAUACUCGCAGUAAUUCCCAUAGCUCGCCAUUGAUCAGCUUUAUGAAGAAUCGUAGUUAUAGACAAUAUGGAUAGAGGGGUAAUCCAGUUUGUGUGUUGUGUGUAUUGUUUUGUGAGCAUUCAAUGGAUAGAACUAGAAAGAGUGUGACCUUUUCCUUUUUUUUUUCAGUUGCUGCCCAUAUUCUCAGCACUAUUUUCUUCCUUCUUUUCCUCAGUUUUUUUGUUAAGAAAUGAAUAUUAUGAUGUUGCCGGGAUGCACUUUCAUUUUUGUUCCAUUACAUUGUGUUUUAUUCAUAUCCUAAACAAAUAAAUGUAAACAAGAAAAUCAAAUGAGACUUCAAAGAGUCUGUUCCUUUUAAAGCAAGGGAAAAAAAGGACAUGUUUGUUUACUUCCACAGCUGGGUAGAUUCAACUCCACCAAAAUUGGCAACAACUUCCCAUUGAAAAAUUCCUUUUAAGCUUGAAUGACAUAAAACUAGAUAUGUUCCAGCUAGAAUGGUACAAGAAAGAAAUCAAAAGAUGAGCACAAUGGGUUAUUAUGACAGCUUUAGAAACCUGGGGUGUAAAAGAGACAUUAAAAUGGAACCGAGGGGAAGACAUUGUAGAACAAGUAAAGAGGAAGCCUCACCAGGAAGGGCAGCUUUGCAAACCCUCUGGCUCUGUACAGGAACGAAUUAUAGAAAGAUGGUUGAACCACUUGACAUUGCUGCCUACCACAGAGAGGGUGGAAGAAACUACAUAACCAAUGGAGGAUGUAAACAUUACACGCUAUUAGAGCAAUGAUGCAAUGAAGAGAAGGGGACUUUGUCUUCCAAUAAUUUAAGAAAAUAAAACCAAAUAAUGCCAGAAUUUGGGUUGAGAAACACCCAAAAGAUAGUGGCCCAAUAUGAAGUAGUCACAAAACUAGUAACAGCCUUGUGGCCAUAGUUGGUGUAGUAUGAGCAAGUGGGGUAUGAAGUAGGUAGGUGAGUAUUGCAAUGAAAUUUCCAGCACUGCUUCCUGAAUUAAGAAAUCACAUACUCAAGUCUUAAUCGUUGUCAUCAUACCGUGUGAGAACCGAGGAAGAAUCUUUGCUCUUAGACUGGAUUUUGUAGUCUUUCUUUAACAAUUACAAGUUAUCUGAAUUCCCUUCAUCCUCCUAUAUAAUAUUGUUUUUGGUCUUGUUCUUGUUGCAUUGUGGCUAGGCAUCUCCAUGGGAGGAAGGAGGAUGAAUCAAGUUCCUUUGUAUGAAUCAAUUUCUCUGCUCUUUUUUUUUUCAAUCCUUGAAUCGAAUCAUUGCUUAGUUCUUGCUUUAAUUUCUCCAUUUUCUGUUGGGUCUUUGAUUGCAGGUUUAGCUCUGCAAGAAAACUGGGAAAUUUAAUUGUGACCUCCAAUCUAAUCGACUCUGCUUUGACUAAAAUUCUUGAGCUUCAAAGAGACCAAACAGCCUUGCCUUCCCCCGUUCAAUACAGAGUUUUUUAUCCAUCUCCCAACUGCACAAUUGUAGCUUUUGUCUCUUCACCUGACUGCACUCAAAACCCUCUUCCUGGACAAGGAGAUUUAGUUCCCUCUCCUCUCUUUGACUUCCUCUGCACCGAAGAAUACAAGUCCGUCUCCAUUAACAGAGCUGCAUUAACCCUCUUUACCUCUCUCCACGAUCAUCUCUCUGGACUAAAAACUCAGGUCAAAAUAUGAUAGUUGUUUUUAUUUUCGUUUCCUUUUUGUUAACAAUUGGGAGACAUGAAACAGCUUGACCAUGAGAUCUCUCUCAUAGAGUCAAACUACCUGAAGAAGAAGAAGACGUUACACAUAUCCAUCUGCGCUGCAUCAUCGCAUUACCCAUUGAUCGGUUGUGAUUCAACUCUUAAUAGGAAGACAGUAGAACUGGUGUUGGUAUCUGUUUUUAGAUCAGCUUAUAUGUAUCUUGUUGCUAAAAAGGGAAUGUUUAGAAGUGAGAUUAAUGGGAUUAUUCUGACAUGGAUUUCAUAUGGUUACCUGUUUUGCAGUUGACUGUGAUUGAAGGUCGAUUAAUCAUUACUGGGUACUCGAUGGGAGGAUCCGUUGCUUCUCUCUUCACCUUAUGCCUGUUAGAAGUCAUCAAUUUAUCAAAACCCAAAUGCCGCCCCAUUUGUAUCACCUUUGGUUCACCCCUCAUAGGCGACUUUGGCCUCCAACACUCCAAUUGGAAUUCUUUCUUCUUGCAUGUAGUGUCCAACCAAGAUCUAGUCCCCGGACUCUUCCUCCCAUCCGACAGAUCUCCUCCCACAUCCUCCCAUUCACAAACUACUGGUUACAAGCCCUUUGGGACAUAUCUCUUGUGCUCUGAACUUGGUUGUGCUUGUUUUGACAACUCUGAUUUAAUUUUGGAAUUGCUGAAAGUCAUAUCAUCAGAGGUUGCCAGAGGAUUGCGGGAUGUUGAUUACAGGAAGAUUUUAAGAAACCUCAAGGAGAGGGCAAUCUGCAAGGGACUUCCGCAGGUGGGUGAAAGGUUUGCAAAUCCAUUUUCAGCUGGGAUCAUCAUGGAACUUGAGACGAUUGGAUUUAAUGAAACAAAGGUAAACAGCUUUCUCCCAUCUACUGAUGUUAUGGAACAUGGUUUACACAUCAUUAAAUACUGCAACAACUGCCCUAUUUAGAUUUAGGGCAAUGAUGAAAAUAUCAGUAAUCACGGAUAUAUCAGUAUUUCGAUUUUACGGAUAUAUCGGAUAUAUCGGAGAUAUAUCGGUAGAUAUUUUGAAAAAAAAUAUCGGCAAGCUUAAAAUUGUUAAAAACUCAUGAAAAUAUAAGAAAAUCUCAUAAUAAUAUAAUUAAAAGUAUAAUAGACAUUUUAAAGUUAUUUUAUUGAAAAUUUUGAUAUAUGUAUAACAUGAUUUAUCAUAUUUGAUAAUAAUAUCGUAUGCGUCGAUAAAAAUAUGAAUUUUAUAAGUGUACAUUUAUUAUUAAAUUACACCUAAUAUUAUGAUAUCUGAUUAUAAUAUGUCUAAUUUUAAAAUAUAUAUUAGUAUUAAAAUAUGAUCCAUUUAAUUCAAUUGUAUUAAACAAUAUAAAAUAAAUAAUGAUAUAUAUAUAUAUAUAUAUAAUUUUUUAAUAUUUAAUUAAUUAUUAAUGAUAUUAAAAACAUUAUGAAGAAAAUUAUAUAAUUUUUUAAUUUUUGGUAAUUAAUUAAAAGACUUUGCAUUUAAUUAUAAAUUAAUUAUAAUUAAUUUACUCUUUAAAAUAUUCUUAUAUUUUCUUUAUAUAAUGAAUUUAAGUAUAUAUAUAGUUGUUGCAUAUUAUAUAUUAAAGGACAACUUAGCCCAAGUGGUAAGCGAGUGAACCCCAAUGUGAGGCAUUGUAGCACGUGCACUGUAGCAUCACUGUAGCGACUCUGACUUUCGUUGACCCGCAUUGACUACACGAUAUAUCGGAGAAAAAUCACUGAUUUAUCGCCAAAUCACCAAUAAAUCGCCGAUUUCUCGCGAUAAAUACCAAAAUAUAGUGUCGAAACCCUUCGAUACACGAUUUUUCGGCGCAUUUUCUUACUUGGAUUUACCUUUUUGUUCUUUGGGAUCUUCCAUGACUCAUUUUUUAAUGCCAUUUUAUUUUCCUUUUUGUUUCUAAAUUUUUAAAAAAUCGUUUUCACUUCUUUUUUUUAAGAAAAUUUUGGCAAAUUUUGAAAAUAUAAUAUUAGUGUUUUCACUUCUUUCUUUUUUUUUUUUUUCUUUUUUUUUUUAAACUCAAUUUUCUAAAAAAUGAAAAUAGAAAAACAUUGUCUAAACAUGUUUGUAAACUUAAUUUUAUUUUUUUAUAAAUGAAAAAAAAAAUCUAAAUGAGUAAGGCUUUAUUAAUUUUAAUUUUUUUCUUUUCCUUAUAUUUUCUUAUUUUAUUCCAAAUUUUCUUGCAACCAAACAUAAUCUAAAUGUUUACAACUUUUAUUGUAAGGAAUGAAUGACACUACUUUGUGAACUUUUAUGAUAAUAUUUUGAAUCAUAAAUUGUGUUUUUUUUAGUAAUAUCAAUUUUAUUACCAAUGACUUAAUUGUUAAUAACAAAAUAUAAUAUUUAUAAAUAUUUUUAUUCUCAACAGGCUACAAUUUUUACUCUUGUGAUAAAAAAAAUUUUGUCAUAAAUUACACAUUAUGAUGAGUUUUUCUAUUUUCCUUAUCAGCCAAUUCAACAAAUAUCAUAUAUAUUGUAAUGGCUAACAAAUUUUCACAUAAAUUUUUUAUAAGAUAAAGUAGAAUGGAAUUAUUCAAUUUCAAAAAAAAAAAAAAUGGUACCUAAUGAAAAAGAUAAAAUAUAUAGAUCAUCUCGAAGAAAUCAGGAAAGAUAAAUGAUGAGACCAUAUAUAGGACCCUUGAUGGAGACUAUUUUAAUUGAAGUGGUGUGCUCCUUCCGACUCAGAACAUGUUCAGCAUUGCACACAAACUAACAUCGUCGAUCUUGAGUAUGAAAAAGGUGAUUAGAUUCCAAGGUUGUCGUUUGUCCCAACUCCUCAUAUUAGAGGUGAUGCUCAAGCUAACGUGCCUCGCAGUUGAGCCCCGGCCAAUCGGUCUAAUAUGCUUUUCCAAUGGUGAGUUUCACUGCCACCAUGUAUUACAUUAAUUCCGAUAGCGCACAAGUUGUGUUUGUGCUAUUGCUUUUUGCCCUCACAAACAUAUACACAAGAGACAUUCAGACCAGAUCUGUUCUACCAUCCUCUAGGAAAGCAUUGUAGGUCAUUUGAAAUUGGGAUUUCAGCACCAGAGUCAAAUUGCCUUCCUUCCUGAAAGAUGAGCAUUUUUUAUACUCUUACAUCGGCUUUUAUGGAAAUGAAAUCAGCUUCUCAUUCUGUUACAUUUUUCAAUUUUGCUGCCUAUAACUGCUCACUGCCUGUUUGUGAGACAUUAUCCAGAUUUUCCCUGAUCAAUUAUAGAGAGGUCAUUGGACUCAUCCAUGAUUGGAAUUUCCUGUUAUCAUUAUUUGCAAAUCAUCAACCAUUUGUCAUGAUAUCUUAAGUUAAGCUGAGCACGAAUUUCAGCUAAGAUCCUCAGAACUAGAAAUAUGCACUGCAGGUAUUACUUGAUAUGUGAAUAUCCAAUACAAUAUUUUUUUACUAAGAGGAAUACGAAUUUGAAACACUUUCCAAUAAUUUAUCAAGUCAUAUUUUCGUGCUGUCGUGAUACAUGUGUCUACUGUAUGCAUGGCUUUUCUUUUCUACACAUGCCUUUAUCUUUGCACAUGACUCUUUUGAUACACGCCAGCAUCAAGGCAAUUGCCUAAAUCUAAAUCACAUCCUUUGUGUCACGUCUUCCUUGUUACCACGGUCCUCUUGUACACCAUGGUCCCUUAAUGUAACUUGUGCCACAAGCCCUUUGUGCAUGAAUUCAAAUUGUUCAAUCAUUUCGCCAUUUACACCUUUUAAGGUCCAAUAAGCGUAUACAAGAGACUACACUCAUUCUAGAUGAUAAAGUACAUUCAACUAACUACUCUUGCUAAUGAGCAUAUCCAAGUCAAUACAUAAGAUUAAUUAUUACAUAUGGUAAUUGAAACCCUGUUUAAAUAAAUAGUGACACAAAUAUAAAAAAUAUAUAUAUUUAAAAAUAAAUAAAUAACAAUUUAGAGAAUUUCAUAACUUAGUAUCAAACCUAUUGUAGGAAAGAGUAUUAUACAAUGUAGGGUUUAGGAUCAAAGUUAACCUAAGAUCAAUUUUAAGUUUUAAGACCAAUUCAAAUUCAAAACUAAGGUUUUAAGUUUCAAAAAUAUAUCUCUUAAACCAAUUAAAUAGAAAAAAGAAAAUUACAAAGAAAAUUUCUUCCUCAUCGGUUUCUUUUAUCUUGAAAACUAAAGGAAAUAUAUAUCAAUAUUUGAGAUGGAAAUUCAUAAUCUUAGAAACACAAAGAACAAAGAGAGUAUGAAGAGACCAUACCAUGAGAGAUUUUCCAAAAGGUUGGUAAACCAUGGUAAUCACCUUUGAGUUUUGCUGAGAAAAACAAACCUUAAUUUUUAUUUUUAUUUUUUUAUCAUUUUUUCUCUUGUGGUGUACAUUUAAGAAAAACAAAUCUUAAAAAAAAAAAAAAAAAAACCAAAUAAUGCCAGAAUUUGGGUUGAGAAACACCCAAAAGAUAGUGGCCCAAUACAUGUGCCUAAGAAAAUCUUCAUGAGCCGAUAAACAUAGUCACAAAACUAGUAACAGCCUUGUAGCCAUAGUUGGUGUAGUAUGAGCAAGUGGGGUAUGAAGUAGGUAGGUGAGUAUUGCAAUGAAAUUUCCAGCACUGCUUCCUGAAUUAAGAAAUCACAUACCCAAGUCUUAGUCGUCGUCGUCGUACCGUGUGAGAACCGGGAAGAAUCUUUGCUCGUAGAGUGGCUUUUGUAGUCUUUCUUUAACAAUUACAAGUUAUCUGAAUUCCCUUCAUCCUCCUAUAUAAUAUUGUUUUUGGUCUUGUUCUUGUUGCAUUGUGGCUAGGCAUCUCCAUGGAAGGAAGGAGGAUGAAUCAAGUUCCUUUGUAUGAAUCAAUUUCUCUGCUCUUUUUCUUUUCAAUCCGUGAAUCGAAUCAUUGCUUAGUUCUUGCUUUAAUUUCUCCAUUUUCUGUUGGGUCUUUGACUGCAGGUUUAGCUCUGCAAGAGAACUGGGAAAUUUAAUGGUGACCUCCAAUCUAAUCGACUCUGCUUUGACUAAAAUUCUUGAGCUUCAAAGAGACCAAACAGCCUUGCUUUCCUCCGUUCAAUACAGAGUUUUUUAUCCAUCUCCCAAGUGCACAAUUGUAGCUUUUGUCUCUUCACCUGACUGCACUCAAAACCCUCUUCCUGGACAAGGAGAUUUAGUUCCGUCUCCUCUCUUUGACUUCCUCUGCACCGAAGAAUACAAGUCCGUCUCCAUUAACAGAGCUGCAUUAACCCUCUUUACCUCUUUCCACGAUCAUCUCUCUGGACUAAAAACUCAGGUCAAAAUAUGAUAGUUGUUUUUAUUUUCGUUUCCUUUUUGUUAACAAUUGUGAGACAUGAAACAGCUUGACCAUGAGAUCUCUCUCAUAGAGUCAAACUACCUGAAGAAGAAGAAGACGUUACACAUAUCCAUCUGCGUUGCAUCAUCGCAUUACCCAUUGAUCGGUUGUGAUUCAACUCUUAAUAGGAAGACAGUAGAACUGGUGUUGGUAUCUGUUUUUAGAUCAGCUUAUAUGUAUCUUGUUUCUAAAAAAGGUAAGUUUAGAAGUGAGAUUAAUGGGAUUAUUCUGACAUGGAUUCCAUAUGGUUACCUGUUUUGCAGUUGACUCAGAUUGAAGGUCAAUUAAUCAUCACUGGGCACUCCCUGGGAGGAUCCGUUGCUUCUCUCUUCACCUUAUGCCUGCUAGAUGGAAAUUUAUUAAAACCCAACUGCCGCCCCUUUUGUAUCACCUUUGGUUCACCCCUCAUCGGCGGCUUUGGCCUCCAACACUCCAUAUGGAAUUCUUUCUUCCUGCAUGUAGUGUCUAACCAAGACCCAGUCCCCGGUCUCUUCCUCCCAUCUGGCAGAGGCAGAUCUACGCCCACAUCCUCCCAUUCACAAACUACCGGUUACAAGCCCUUUGGGACAUAUCUCUUGUGCUCUGAACUUGGUUGUGCUUGUUUGGAAAAGCCUGAUUUAAUUUUGGGAUUGCUGAAAGUCAGAUCAUCCGAGGUUGCCGGAGGAUUGCAGGAUGUUGAUUAUGGGGAGAUUUUAAGAAACCUCAAGGAGAGGGCAAUCUGCAAGGGACUUCAGCAGGUGGGUGAAAGGUUUGCAGAUCCUUUUACAGCUGGGAUCAUCAUGGACCUUGAGAUAAUUGGAUUUGAUCAAACAAAGGUAAACAGCUAGCUUUCUCCCAUCUAAUGAUGUUAUGAAACAUGGUUUACACUUCACCAAAUACUGCAACAACUGCCCUAUUUAGAUUUGCCGUCUUGUUCUUUGGGAUCUUCCAUAACUAGACUCAUUUUUUAAUUUCAUGGCAGCUGCUGCAGCAUAACAUUGAUAUCGAGACUGUGAUAAGCACAAUGGAAGAGGAAGCCAGAAACCCAACCAAAAAAAAUAAAGCUUUCGAUGCCAAGAUUCUGAAUCACAAAAAAAAAGACAUGGCCGGGCUAGAAUGGUAUAAGAAGAAAUCAAAAGAUCUGAACAAGGGUUACUACGACUGCUUCAAAAACCAGGGGUCAAAAAGGGACAUUAAAAUUGAACAGUAUGGGGGACACCUCACAUUAUACUGGAAAGACAUGGUUGCACAAGUACAGAGGAAGCCCCAGAAGGAAGGAGCAACAUUUCGAACCCGUUGGCUCUAUGCAGGGACGGUUUAUAGAAGAAUGGUUGAACCACUGGACAUUGCUGCCUUCUACGUAGAGGGUGGAACAGACUACAUGAAGAAUGAAAGAUCUCUUCAUUACAAGCUGUUGCAGCAAUGGUAUGAGGAAGAUGUGAAACCCCCCUCUAAGGAUAAGCUUGAUUCCAAGAAGCAAAAGGUGUCUGGUAUCCUAACUGAGGAUUCUUGCUUUUGGGCACAUGUGGAGGAGGCUAUCUUGUCAUGCGAAUUGCUUAAGAGUGAAAACUGUACUCUUGAGCAGGAAAAAUCAUCAUGGGAUAAUCUGGUUAAGUUCGAGGAGUAUGUAAUGGAACAGAUUAACAACUAUGCAGUGUCCCCUGAGAUUUUCUUGGGGGAAAGCAGCUUCAUGAAAUGGUGGGGACUGUAUGAGGGCUACAUAUAUGCUCGCAGUAAUUCCCAUAGGUCACCAUUGAUCAGCUUUAUGAAGAACGGUAGUUAUACAGAGUAUCGUUAGAGGGGUAAUCCAGUUUGUGUGUUGUGUGUAUUGUUUUGUGAGCAUUCAAUGGAUAGAACUAGAAAGAGUGUGACCUUUUUCCUUUUUUUCUUCUAGUUGCUGCCCAUAUUCUCAGCACUAUUUUCUUCCUUCUUUUCCUCAGUUUUUUCUUAAGAAAUGAAUAUUAUGAUGUUGCUGGGAUGCACUUUCAUUUUUGUUCCAUUACAUUGUGUUUUAUUCAUAUCCUAAACAAAUAAAUGUAAACAAGAAAAUCAAAUAAGACUUCAAAGAGUCUGUUCCUUUUAAAGCAAGGGAAAAAAAGGACAUGUUUGUUUACUUCCACAGCUGGGUAGAUUCAACUCCACCAAAAUUGGCAACAACUUCCCAUUGAAAAAUUCCUUCUAAGCUUGAAUGACAUAAAACUAGAUAUGUUCCAGCUAGAAUGGUACAAAAAAGAAAUCAAAAGAUGAGCACAAUGGGUUAUUAUGACAGCUUUAGAAACCAUCUUACAACACAUCCAUCAGAAUUUAGACUAUUCAUAGAAACAUUCUUAACAUGUAAAUCUACUAUUGCCAUGCACGUCAACAUAGAAUUUCUAAAAUGAUUGAAUAAAAUAAAUAAAACAAAAGAAACCCUUCCAAGAGAAUUUCAUAAUCUAAUGUCAAAUCUAUUACGAAGAUGAACAUGUAAAAUUUAAGGUUUAUAAUCAAAGUCGACUUGAAUCUGAGUUUUAAAACCAAUUUGCAGUUUUUAAGUUUGGAGACUAGAUCUCUUAAACCAAUUAAAUGUAAAAAACUAAAAAGAAAACUUCUUCAAAUUUUGAAAUGAGAAUGAGAAUGCAAUUCCUAACUAGUUUCUUCAUCAAAAAUCCCGAAAAAAAAAAAAAAAGAAGAGAGAGAGAGACCAUAGACGCCAGUGUUUGGGUUUAGAACCACCCAAGAGAGAGUAGUCCAAUAUAUGGGCUUAAGAAAAUCCUCAUGGGCCUAAGCUAAGACUAGGAACAAUCUUGUAUCCGUGGUUGGUUUAGUAUGAGCAUGUGUACUGCGAAGGAAGUAGCUGAGAAUUGCAAUGGAAUUUCCAGUACUGCUUCCUGAACGAACAAAUCGCAUACCCAAGAUUUGGUCGUCAACGCCAUGCUGGGUGAGAACCGGGGAAGCAUCUUCGCUCGUUGACGAGCUUUUGUAGUCCUUCUUUAACAAUUAUAAGGCAUCUGAAUUCCCUUCAUCCUCCCACACCAUUGUUUUUGGUCUUGUUCUUGUUGCUUUGUGACUACGCAUCUCCAUGGAAGGAAGGAGGAUGAACCAAGUUCCUUUGUAUGCAUCAAUUUUACUGUUUUUUUUUUCCUUUUUAAUCUUUGGAUCGAAUCAUUGCUUAGUUCUUGCUUAAUUUCUCCAUUUUAUGUUGGGUCUUUGAUUGCAGGUUUAGCUCUGCGCGAGAACUGGGAAAUUUAAUUGUGACCUCCAAUCUAAUCGACUCUGCUUUGACUAAAAUUCUUGAGCUUCAAAGAGACCAAACAGCCUUGCCUUCCCCCGUUCAAUACAGAGUUUUUUAUCCAUCUCCCAAGUGCACAAUUGUAGCUUUUGUCUCUUCACCUGACUGCACUCAAAACCCUCUUCCUGGACAAGGAGAUUUAGUUCCCUCUCCUCUCUUUGACUUCCUCUGCACCGAAGAAUACCCUUCCGUCUCCAUUAACGGAGCCGCAUUAACCCUCUUUACCUCUCUCUACGAUCAUCUCUCUGGACUAAUAGAUGAGGUCAAAAUCUGAUACUUGUUUUAAUUUACGUUAACUUUUCGUUAACAAUUGUGAGACACGUAUAUAUAUAUAUAUAUAUAUAUAUCUUGUGGAUAAAAGGAAAGUUUACAAGUGAGAAUAGUGGCAUUUUUCUGACAGAUUUCACACCGUUGCUUGUUUUGCACUUGACUGUGAUUGAAGGUCGAUUAAUCAUCACUGGGCACUCGAUGGGAGGAUCCGUUGCUUCUCUCUUCACCUUAUGCCUGCUAGAAGUCAUUAAUAUAUCAAAACCCAAAUGCCGCCCCAUUUGCAUCACAUUUGGUUCACCCCUCAUAGGCGACUUUGGCUUCCAACACUCCAAUUGGAAUUCUUUCUUCUUGCAUGUAGUGUCCAACCAAGAUCUAGUCCCCGGACUCUUCCUCCCAUCCGGCAGAUCUCCUCCCACAUCCUCCCAUUCACAAACUACUGGUUACAAGCCCUUUGGGACAUAUCUCUUGUGCUCUGAACUUGGUUGUGCUUGUUUUGACAACCCUGAUUUAAUUUUGGAAUUGCUGAAAGUCAUAUCAUCAGAGGUUGCCGGAGGAUUGCGGGAUGUUGAUUACAGGAAGAUUUUAAUAAACCUCAAGGAGAGGGCAAUCUUCAAGGGACUUCAGCAGGUGGGUGAAAGGUUUGCAGAUCCCUUGUCAGCUGGGAUCAUCAUGGACCUUGAGAUAAUUGGAUUUGAUCAAACAAAGGUAAACAGCUUUCUCCCAAUUAAUGAUGUAGCAUGGUUUACACUCAACUUCACCAAAACCUGCAACAACUGCCCUAUUUAGAUUUGCC